UACGUAGGGGGCAAGCGUUAUCCGGAUUUACUGGGUGUAAAGGGAGCGUAGACGGAAGGUCAAGUCAGGUGUGAAAGGCAUGGGCUCAACCCGUGGACUGCACUUGAAACUGGUCAUCUCGAGUGUCGGAGGGGCAGGCGGAAUUCCUGGUGUAGCGGUGAAAUGCGUAGAUAUCAGGAAGAACACCGGUGGCGAAGGCGGCCUGCUGGACGAUCACUGACGUUGAGGCUCGAAGGCGUGGGGAG
rnacentral:rRNA from 1 species